rnacentral:rRNA from 1 species
GUCUACAGCCAUGCCACCCUGAACUAGCCCGAUCCCGUCUGAUCUCAGAAGCUAAGCAGGGUCGGGCCUGGUUAGUACUUGGUUGGGAGACUACCUAGGAAGACCAGGUGCUGUAGGCA